rnacentral:rRNA from 1 species
GAUGAACGCUGGCGGCGUGCCUAAUACAUGCAAGUCGAGCGAACAGACGAGGAGCUUGCUCCUCUGACGUUAGCGGCGGACGGGUGAGUAACACGUGGAUAACCUACCUAUAAGACUGGGAUAACUUCGGGAAACCGGAGCUAAUACCGGAUAAUAUAUUGAACCGCAUGGUUCAAUAGUGAAAGACGGUUUUGCUGUCACUUAUAGAUGGAUCCGCGCCGCAUUAGCUAGUUGGUAAGGUAACGGCUUACCAAGGCAACGAUGCGUAGCCGACCUGAGAGGGUGAGCGGCCACACUGGAACUGAGACACGGUCCAGACUCCUACGGGAGGCAGCAGUAGGGAAUCUUCCGCAAUGGGCGAAAGCCUGACGGAGCAACGCCGCGUGAAUGAUGAAGGUCUUCGGAUCGUAAAACUCUGUUAUUAGGGAAGAACAAAUGUGUAAGUAACUAUGCACGUCUUGACGGUACCUAAUCAGAAAGCCACGGCUAACUACG